rnacentral:rRNA from 1 species
GGCAAGUCGAGCGGACAGAUGGGAGCUUGCUCCCUGAUGUUAGCGGCGGACGGGUGAGUAACACGUGGGUAACCUGCCUGUAAGACUGGGAUAACUCCGGGAAACCGGGGCUAAUACCGGAUGGUUGUUUGAACCGCAUGGUUCAGACAUAAAAGGUGGCUUCGGCUACCACUUACAGAUGGACCCGCGGCGCAUUAGCUAGUUGGUGAGGUAACGGCUCACCAAGGCGACGAUGCGUAGCCGACCUGAGAGGGUGAUCGGCCACACUGGGACUGAGACACGGCCCAGACUCCUACGGGAGGCAGCAGUAGGGAAUCUUCCGCAAUGGACGAAAGUCUGACGGAGCAACGCCGCGUGAGUGAUGAAGGUUUUCGGAUCGUAAAGCUCUGUUGUUAGGGAAGAACAAGUGCCGUUCAAAUAGGGCGGCACCUUGACGGUACCUAACCAGAAAGCCACGGCUAACUACGUGCCAGCAGCCGCGGUAAUACGUAGGUGGCAAGCGUUGUCCGGAAUUAUUGGGCGUAAAGGGCUCGCAGGCGGUUUCUUAAGUCUGAUGUGAAAGCCCCCGGCUCAACCGGGGAGGGUCAUUGGAAACUGGGGAACUUGAGUGCAGAAGAGGAGAGUGGAAUUCCACGUGUAGCGGUGAAAUGCGUAGAGAUGUGGAGGAACACCAGUGGCGAAGGCGACUCUCUGGUCUGUAACUGACGCUGAGGAGCGAAAGCGUGGGGAGCGAACAGGAUUAGAUAC